CCUACGGCUUAACCGUGGAAGUGCAUUUGAAACUGCUUGGCUUGAGUAUCAGAGGGGAAAGUGGAAUUCCCGGUGUAGAGGUGAAAUUCGUAGAUAUCGGGAGGAAUACCGGUGGCGAAGGCGACUUUCUGGCUGAAUACUGACGCUGAGGCGCGAAAGCGUGGGGAGCAAACAGGAUUAGAUACCCUGGUAGUC
rnacentral:rRNA from 1 species